rnacentral:rRNA from 1 species
UACGAGUGCCCCGAGCGUUAUCUGGAAUCAUUGGGCGUAAAGGGUGUGUAGGUGGUCGUGUUAGUCGAUUGUUAAAACCUGGGGCUCAACCCCAGAUCCGCGAUCGAAACGGCACAACUAGAGGAUGGCAGGGAUGUAUGGAACUCAUGGAGUAGGGGUGAAAUCCGUUGAUAUCAUGGGGAACACCAAAAGCGAAGGCAGUACAUUGGGCCACUCCUGACACUGAAACACGAAAGCGUGGGUAGCGAAUGGG